ACGAAGAAGUGGUCUGCGCCGUUUCGAGAAUUGUGCGAGAAAAUGCCGAGCUACGAGAGCAGUUGCGGGAACUCCCCGAGAAGACUGCGCUCGAGAUAGAGGAACUGAAAACGGCUCUCGGCAAGGCCCAGCGUGACCUUGAAAUUUCCAGCACGAGAUGCAAGGAAUUGGAGGCAAAAUUACGAUCCCAGGCCUCGAAUGCAGGCCUCCAAGAAGGGGAGACUGGCAAGCAACUGCAGGGGAGUGGCGGAGGAGCAGAUGGGGAGCUGCCAUCGACGUCCAAGCGUCAAUCCCAAGAUGGCGAAGUUGAUCCUCCCAAG